AAAAAGUACGUGAAAUUGUUGAAAGGGAAGCGUUCAUGACCAGACUUGGGCAGGUUGAUCAUCCGUGGUUCUCCGCGGUGCACUCUGCCUGCCCAGGCCAGCAUCAGUUCGCCCCGGGGGAUAAAGGCUUUGGGAAUGUGGCUCCCUCGGGAGUGUUAUAGCCCACUGCGUAAUACCCUGGGGUGGACUGAGGUUCGCGCUCUGCAAGGAUGCUGGCGUAAUGGUCAUCAACGACCCGUCUUGAAACACGG
rnacentral:rRNA from 1 species